rnacentral:misc_RNA from 1 species
GCGUUAGAUGGCGCCACCAGCCCGAGGGGCGCAGCAGAGCGAGAGUUCGUGAUGGCGUCUUCCAGCUCGCACGCACGUUUUCGUCCACGCGGUUCACCAGCGUGAGAACCCAAGAUGAAGAUGAUGCAGAGAAGAGCAUGGAGGAAUCAAAGUCACCGUAUACCUGUUUGUCAAGAUAUUUCCCAGGGAACUUUUUGCACGAAUGUGCACAUCAAACGAACCUGUAUUUUGUUCGAGAAAGGGCGGGUAGAUCUGCGGAGACGAAUGCAAAGGAUCUUAGGACAUUUGCAGGCAUCCGCAUGUACUUGUCGCACCUGCUGAGUGUUUACGUAAUUACGGACGCAAUGUCACGGUACAGGUUUUUCGAACAACGAAGUUACCUCCAUUUUGCGGACAGGCUGCCUGUGACAGAGGAACAGCCUCUUCCUCGUCGAGCCAGUAUUUUUUUUUCUUUCAGGAAAGCAUUGCCUUGAGUUUUUCCGUCCACGAGAGCUGUGUGUAGACGAGCAGAUCAUUCUUUACACUGGCAGGUGCCCCAUGAGCCAUUGCGUUCAAAGCAAACCCAACCCAGUUGGCCUAAAGAAUUUUGUGUUGGCAGCGUCUGAUAGUCUAGUUUUAGACUUCCCGAUUUACAUCGGGAAACGAACAGUUUCUGAAGCAGACGUGGAAGAGCUCGACCUUGGUGGAGGCGUGGUAAAAGGACUUGUUAAGACUACCAACAGAGAUGAGCCAACAUUUUUGCUCACUGACAAAUAUUUUCCAGGAGUGAAACUGACUGGAUUUCUGAUUGACAACAAGAAUUUCCUCACGGGGACCAUCAUGGCGAACCGUACCAACGGUGAGGCAGCGAGAAUUCCGAAUGACAGAUCAAUGAAGCGAGGUGAAUCACAUUGCAGAGUACGGAGCGAUGACAAGCUCUGUCAAGUUAAAUGGAAAGACAACAAGUCAGUCCUUCUAUUGUCUACUGCCUUCGGCACUGCGCCAGAGGGUACAUGCCGGAGGUGUUCAAAAGACGAAAAGAAGAGAGCCGAGGUCACACAGCCUCACAUUGUAGCCAGGUACAAUCAGCACAUGGGUGGAGUUGACCUGAUUGACCGCUAUGUUGCAUACUAUCGAAUCACUGUGCGCAGUAAAAAAUGGACGGUCCUUGUUUUUACACAAUUCCUGGACAUGGCAUGCUGCAACAGUUGGAUAGAGUACCAGAGGGACUGCGACAACGCCAUGGUUUUGAAGAAGGACAGGCUAGAUCUAUUGCACUUUAAAGCAGUUAUAGCUUAUGUGCUCGUACAAGCAGAGUCAUCCAUUUCAAGGGGGUCUCGAGAAGACGCGCAAAGCGGCGAAGAACCGACUGCAAACAAGAGAAUCAAGGUAAUUCCACUACGUCCGAAUGAAGUAAAAUGCGACAUUAAGCCGUUAGGCUUAAGUUCCAGAUGAAGUGCCGAAAUCGUUAUUGUAAGAGAAAAUUGAAGUGCACAAAGUGCCACAUUUUCAUUUGCCUACAUAACAGAAGCUGUUUCCUGGACUUUCACAAGCGUUAAGUCAUUUGACACGCAAUAAAAAAGUUUCAAAAAUAUUGCUAAAAAAUUGUCAUCUCGGGACUGAGGAGGUUAAAACAAAUGAGCAACGGUUUCGACUUCCGAGUUGGAAAGUACUAAGCACCUGGCUAAGAUUCAAAUCUAUUACAGCCUAACUUUCAGUCACAUUUUUGUUGCUGUUGUGUUGUUACUGUCAGUCACAAUUUUCGUUUUCUUGUAAAUAAUAUGUAACACAAUAAAUCAGUUUUACAGAGAAAAAGAACACGGAUGGCGAGAAUGAGAAAGAGAGAUAGAGAGAGAGGGAU